UGUGUGUGUGGUGGGCCUGCGCAGAGUGACCAUUACCUGCGCACUCCUCCCUCACCAAGCUCUCCCUCCCUCUCACCUUCCUCGGCCGCCAUCACGAGAGCACCCCCACACCUGCUGGCCCCGUAAUUAAUGCAGGGUUGGCCGUCCGAGCAGCGUCAGCCACCUCGUCUUCCCUCUUCGACGUGGUGCCGCGCACGAACAUGAUCUUGGAGCCUCCGCCUGCAGGAGAAACAGGGAUCAGUAUUAGCAGCAACUAUUGUUGUCAGCAAGUGUUUGAAGACAACCCGGAGAACUCCAGGGAGCAGCAAGAACGGCGCAAUCUAUUGAGCAUGGGCUGACUGAGGAGGCUGAACGAAAAACUGAAAAAUGGCGGCAGUAAUGCCAUACCUGCAGCGGCUGUGGUGGAG